CCGUCUGGCGCGCACCUCCGACUCGCUGCUCUCCCUGCUCGACGUCAUCAUCGCCGACACGGCCAUGUCGCGCAAGGACAAGCGCAAGAAGCUCCAGCAGUUCCGUGACACAUACCCGGAGAUCUACAGCCGCCGGCUGCUGGAGGCCGACCGGCAGCUGCUGGCCGCCGGCGACACGCGCCGCACGCGCUCCCUCUUCUCGGGCGCAUCGCUCAGCUCGCUCGUCCGCUCCAAGUCGCUCCGCAUCUGAGGCCGACAUGGCUCGCCGGAAGUGUGUCGUGGUCCGGUCACGCGCGGCACGUGCUCGCCGAGGCGUCUGGACGCGUCGUCAGGUCCGGGAAUGCCCGGCUGACAGCGUCUGCGGCGGCCCAUCCUCAUGAUAUCCGGACGAAUUCCUGCUUGUUUUCCGCGUGGCGCACAAUGAAAUCUCAGAGCGCUUGGACAAGUCGCCGUGCCGGCCGGCCCGCGUGCCGCGCGUCACUAGCCGCCGUGAUGUGCGCACCUCGCCGCCGUGCUGUGCGCCCGCUUUGAGCUCCCGGCUGUCCGGGGCGAUCAAAGCGGCCACAGCGACCGGCCUCUCGGCCUGCGAGUCAACUACGAUGUGCUGCUAUAGUGUAUAUCCAACGUCAUCAGGGUUUUGGGCCUGCGCGAUCUUGCAUGUCCAUAUCGCACGCCGGUUUUAAUCUUGCUAGCAAUAAUACACGGUCUGCGUUUAUCACAGCCGCACGCACUGGCACAUUUUCGGGUGUUUGCAAGUGUGAGCCACAAUACAAUCACUUCUUCA